rnacentral:rRNA from 1 species
UACGUAGGGUGCGAGCGUUAAUCGGAAUUACUGGGCGUAAAGUGUGCGCAGGUGGCUGAGCAAGUCGAGUGUGAAAUCCCCGGGCUUAACUUGGGAAUUGCGCUCGAAACUACUUGGCUCGAGUGUGGCAGAGGAAGGUGGAAUUUCAGGUGUAGCGGUGAAAUGCGUAGAUAUCUGAAGGAACAUCAGUGGCGAAAGCGACUUCCUGGACCAAUACUGACGCUCAUGUGCGAAAGCGUGGGGAGCAAACAGG